CGAAGGGAUCUGUUCCGUGGAGCGUCAUGACAGAGGGAGAGUGUCCCAAAAAGCGAAAAUAUAAAAUGCAUUUCACCUCAGACUACACAAAAGCGUAUCCUUGUUUAAUAUGGUUGAAAAUAAUGACAAUGUUACGCGCUGAACUAUUUGCAACAGUGAUUUUAGCAUUGCUCAUGGCGGUUUAAACGGCUGUAAAAAGUACGUUCAGGAAGGCUCACAUCCAACCGAAGACCGUGACCCCAGAGCUAAGCUGACAUGUACCCAAACACCCUGAUCGCAGAGUUAUGCUGUCAUCUACUCAGAUGCCCUAAUUCCAAAGUGUGUAGCUGACAUGUUCCCGGACUCUGCUAUUGCACGAAAAUACUCAACGGGAAAAACGAAGGCUACUCAACUCAUCAAAGGUGCCAUAGCAGCAGAACUACAGGAUGAGUUGGCCAAAACAUGCCGAUCUCAGCCCUUUUCACUGAUGUGUGACGAAUCCAACAACAGACAAAGAAUUCGUCAUCCUGACUAGACUCUACGAUGAGGCCACUCUGCAGGUCGCUACAAGAUUCCUGGAGAUGCCUACAUACAAUGUAGGAAAUGCAGAAAAUCUGUAUGGAAAGCUGAGUGAGGCAUUAAGAAAAAGAGGCAUCCCAUGGGAAAACCUGAUUGCCUUUAACUCUGAUAAUGCAAGUGUUAUGAAAGGCCAACAUAACUCGGUCAUCAGCAGACUGAAGACCAGCCAGCCCCACAUCCAGGACCUUGGCUGCAUCUGCCACCUGGUACAGCUGGCCACUGGCUGUGGCAUCAGAGCAGCCCAGGUACCGGUGGAAGACAUCCUGGUGGGGAUAUACACCCACUUUGAUAAAAGUGCAAAAAGAUGUUAAGUCUACAAAGAGUUUGUAGACUUCACUGAUUCAGACCACCUGAAGCUCCUCAGGUACUGCAGCACAAGAUGGCUAAGUCUGUUAACCUGCAUCCAGAGGGUGCUGAACCAGUGGGAUGCACUACAGGUCUACUUUAACAGUCAUGAGGAAGUAGAGAGGAGUGUUAAAGUGCGUGAUCUGGCAAGCCAUCUGCGUGAUCCAAUCAUGAAGACCUAUUUCCUGUUCCUGAGUGCUAAAUUCAGCCUUUAUCUGAAUUUAACAUUGCCUUCCAGUCAGAGGGAGUACAAAUUCACGGACUUGAAGAGGAGAUGUGCAGGCUGAUAAAGAGGAUCCUGGGCUACCUCAUACCAGCCAGGGCAAUCGUGGGUGUACCUCUCAGGGAGGUGGAGUAUGGAGAUGGACAUCAGUUGGCUGAUGAAGAUCUCUUUAUCGGAGCAGACACAAAGGCAUUCAUGAGAAGCGCUGAGCUCCCUGUGUCAGCCGAGAAGAAAAUCUUUCAAACUGUGAGAAGCUUCUAUGAGGCAGUGCUUAAGAAGAUGUUCUCCACCUUUCCCCUCGACCAUCCACUCCUGAGGGACCUGAAAGUGCUGGACCCUGCAGCUCGCCUUAACAUAACUCCAGGGACAGGUAGAUAAUAGAAAGAGUUUCCAAUAGGCUUUAUGCCCAGCUCCACUACUUACCCUAGCAACCACCCUAGCAAUGGUCAGACACACCUGGAUGUGUAGUGUAU